AGAGUUUGAUCCUGGCUCAGAACGAACGCUGGCGGCGUGGAUAAGACAUGCAAGUCGAACGCUGGUUUGCGGGUAGCAAUAUUCGCAAGCUGGAGUGGCGCAAGGGUGUGUAACACGUGGGUAAUCUGCCGUGAAGUCUGGGAUAACUUGCUGAAAGGCGAGCUAAUACCGGAUGUGAACGCAAGUUCAAAGUUGGGGACCGUAAGGCCUGACGCUUCACGAUGAGCCCGCGGCCUAUCAGCUAGUUGGUGAGGUAACGGCUCACCAAGGCUAAGACGGGUAGCUGGUCUGAGAGGACGACCAGCCACACUGGAACUGAGACACGGUCCAGACACCUACGGGUGGCAGCAGUCGAGAAUUUUUCUCAAUGGGCGAAAGCCUGAAGGAGCGACGCCGCGUGGGGGAUGAAUGGCUUCGGCCCGUAAACCCCUGUCAUUUGCGAACAAGUUGAUUCACCUAACACGUGAAGCAUUGAUUGUAGCGGAAGAGGAAGGGACGGCUAACUCUGUGCCAGCAGCCGCGGUAAUACAGAGGUCCCAAGCGUUGUUCGGAUUCACUGGGCGUAAAGGGUGCGUAGGCGGCCAGGUAAGUUUGAUGUGAAAUCCCGCAGCUCAACUGCGGAACUGCAUUGAAUACUAUUUGGCUCGAGGAAUGGAGGGGAGACUGGAAUUCUCGGUGUAGCAGUGAAAUGCGUAGAUAUCGAGAGGAACACCAGUGGCGAAGGCGAGUCUCUGGACAUUUCCUGACGCUCAGGCACGAAAGCCAGGGGAGCAAACGGGAUUAGAUACCCCGGUAGUCC
rnacentral:rRNA from 1 species